rnacentral:rRNA from 1 species
GACGAACGCUGGCGGCGUGCCUAAUACAUGCAAGUAGAACGCUGAAGGAGGAGCUUGCUUCUCUGGAUGAGUUGCGAACGGGUGAGUAACGCGUAGGUAACCUGCCUGGUAGUGGGGGAUAACUAUUGGAAACGAUAGCUAAUACCGCAUAAUAGCAGUUGUUGCAUGAUAACUGUUUGAAAGGUGCAAUUGCACCGCUACCAGAUGGACCUGCGUUGUAUUAGCUAGUUGGUGGGGUAACGGCUCACCAAGGCGACGAUACAUAGCCGACCUGAGAGGGUGAGCGGCCACACUGGGACUGAGACACGGCCCAGACUCCUACGGGAGGCAGCAGUAGGGAAUCUUCGGCAAUGGACGGAAGUCUGACCGAGCAACGCCGCGUGAGUGAAGAAGGGUUUCGGAUCGUAAAGCUCUGUUGUAAGAGAAGAACGAGUGUGAGAGUGGAAAGUUCACACUGUGACGGUAUCUUACCAGAAAGGGACGGCUAACUACGUG